GAUGAACGCUGGCGGCGUGCUUAACACAUGCAAGUCGAACGAUGAAGCCCAGCUUGCUGGGUGGUUUAGUGGCGAACGGGUGAGUAACACGUGAGUAACCUGCCCUUAACUCUGGGAUAAGCCUGGGAAACGGGGUCUAAUACCGGAUAGGAGCGCCUACCGCAUGGUGGGUGUUGGAAAGAUUUAUCGGUUUUGGAUGGACUCGCGGCCUAUCAGCUUGUUGGGGAGGUAAUGGCUCAGCAAGGCGACGACGGGUAGCCGGCCUGAGAGGGUGACCGGCCACACUGGGACUGAGGCACGGCCCAGACUCCUUCGUGAGGCAGCAGUGGGGAAUUUUGCACAAUGGGCGAAAGCCUGAUGCAGCGACGCCGCGUGGGGGAUGACGGCCUUCGGGUUGUAAACCUCUUUCAGUAGGGAAGAAGCGAAAGUGACGGUACCUGCAGAAGAAGCACCGGCUAACUACGU
rnacentral:rRNA from 1 species